rnacentral:rRNA from 1 species
ACACUCCUGCGGGAGGCAGCAGUGGGGAAUAUUGGACAAUGGGCGCAAGCCUGAUCCAGCCAUGCCGCGUGAGUGAUGAAGGCCCUAGGGUUGUAAAGCUCUUUCACCGGUGAAGAUAAUGACGGUAACCGGAGAAGAAGCCCCGGCUAACUUCGUGCCAGCAGCCGCGGUAAUGCGAAGGGGGCUAGCGUUGUUCGGAUUUACUGGGCGUAAAGCGCACGUAGGCGGACUAUUAAGUCAGGGGUGAAAUCCCGGGGCUCAACCCCGGAACUGCCUUUGAUACUGGUAGUCUUGAGUUCGAGAGAGGUGAGUGGAAUUCCGAGUGUAGAGGUGAAAUUCGUAGAUAUUCGGAGGAACACCAGUGGCGAAGGCGGCUCACUGGCUCGAUACUGACGCUGAGGUGCGAAAGCGUGGGGAGCAAACAGGAUUAGAAACCCCAGUAGUCCCA